UUUUUAAAUCUUUGCAAUUCAAAGGUUUCCAUAGGUUAAUUUUAAAGGCUGAAAUUAACAACAAUAAUCAUGCCUUUUUGAGCUUAUUUUCUUCUUCUGCAGCUAAAACAUAAAUCACCUUUUGCACAGAAAAGUUUUCUUAUUGAGCACAGGAUUACACCAGAAACUGGAGAUGAAUAAUCCAACCCAGACUCAGAAUAACAUAAAGUAACCCUAGCAGUUCCUUCAAUUUUCUCUAUAGAGGUUCUUGCACAGCUGUAUAGCACUGUGAUCUCGGAGGCUGUCUUUAAAGGGACCAAAGUUUCUCUAAUACCAAGAGAUCAACCCCCUUCUGAGCCCUCUGUCUCCAUUAUGAAGUCAGAAAAUGAGAGCAUUGCUGCUUGCCUGGUGAAAGAUUUCUACCCUAAGAAAUUGAAGAUAUUCAUGAAUUCUGACAGUCAAACUAUAUAUGAAGCAACAUCUAUCCUCACAUCUAGUGGGAAAUACAGUGCCGUCAAAGUUGCCAAGUUGUUCUCAAAUGAACCAGUAUCUUGCUCUGUUCAACAUAACAGCAAACUUAUUAAGAAAACCCAAACAGCUGAGAAGCUGCCAGAUUUCACAUCUCCUGCUCCUGAACCGUGCAACAUUUCAAACUCUACUCUCAAAGACAAGAAUGAGGAGAAAAGUGUGAAGACACUAUCCACGGCUCUGCUGGCUUUGGAAAUUGUGCUUGCAAAGAGCAUCAUCUUCAAUGUGCUCAUGAUUGCAAGAUUAGUCUUUGAGGUUUGCAAGAAGGAGCGAGGACGGACCUGAGAAAUAAAGCUAAAUUUCUAUCAACUUUAAUUAUAUAUACUGCUUUUGAUACUGACAAUUAGUCAGCAUUUGUUGUUGCUAGGACUAAAUUUUUAACAAGCUAAUUUUGGUAACUGAAUAACAAUUGUAGAGUUACAACAACAACUUCGGAGUUAAGACUGGAGGAGAUUUGGUAUUCCCUCAAAUCUUUUCUUACCUUGUGGGGGGGGGGAACAGCCCAUCUUUUAUUCAAAUCUGCCAUGUUUCUUAGGCUAGAAAAGUAAUAGAAUGUUUGACUGCUAACUUAUACUGAUUGUGCAAGAAUUUUUGGAAGAGCUGACUGUGAAAGAUGAUGGUCUUUUUAAACAUGUCUUCCGAUGUUUUUCAUUCAUGUACUUUCCUUUCCUAUUUUUAUAUGAAAGCAAUGUUUUGUGUUUUGGUGCAUUUGCCUGCAUAAUAAAUUGUUGCACAACAAGAAUUGUUUCUUUUAACAAUAUUAAAUGAUUUUAACCUAUAAAUGGCAGAGAGACUUUCCCUCCAGAGGUGUUAGGUCCAAUCCAGCUUCAUGCUGCGGGGGAGACUUUCUGAUUUGAGGGAACAGGGAAUGGAAU
rnacentral:lncRNA from 1 species